UCCCUGGUUGUCUAGUGGUAAGGAUUCUGUGUGCUCUCACCGCUGCCGCCCUGGCUUCCAUUCCCAGUCAGGGAA